rnacentral:rRNA from 1 species
AGUGAACGCUGGCGGUAGGCCUAACACAUGCAAGUCGAACGGCAGCACAGUAAGAGCUUGCUCUUACGGGUGGCGAGUGGCGGACGGGUGAGGAAUACAUCGGCAUCUACUUUUUCGUGGGGGAUAACGUAGGGAAACUUACGCUAAUACCGCAUACGACCUACGGGUGAAAGCAGGGGAUCUUCGGACCUUGCGCGAAUGAAUGAGCCGAUGUCGGAUUAGCUAGUUGGCGGGGUAAAGGCCCACCAAGGCGACGAUCCGUAGCUGGUCUGAGAGGAUGAUCAGCCACACUGGAACUGAGACACGGUCCAGACUCCUACGGGAGGCAGCAGUGGGGAAUAUUCGACAAUGGGCGCAAGCCUGAUCCAGCCAUACCGCGUGGGUGAAGAAGGCCUUCGGGUUGUAAAGCCCUUUUGUUGGGAAAGAAAAGCAGCAGGUUAAUACCCCGCUGUUCUGACGGUACCCAAAGAAUAAGCACCGGCUAACUUCGUG